UUCGGCGGUCAUAGCGUCGGAGGUACACCUCUUCCCAUUCCGAACAGAGAAGUUAAGCCUGACAGCGCCGAUGGUACUCGGGGCGCAAGCCCCCGGGAGAGUAGGACGCCGCCGAAU
rnacentral:rRNA from 1 species